rnacentral:rRNA from 1 species
GAUGAACGCUAGCGGCAGGCCUAACACAUGCAAGUUGAGGGGUAACAUGAGAAAGCUUGCUUUCUUGAUGACGACCAGCGAACGGGUGCGUAACACGUAUGGAACCUACCUUAUACAGGGGCAUAGCCCAGAGAAAUCUGGAUUAAUUUCCCAUAAUAUCUUAGAAUGGCAUCAUUCAUAGAUUAAAGCUCAGGCGGUAUAAGAUGGCCAUGCGGCCUAUUAGUUAGUUGGUGAGGUAACGGCUCACCAAGACUACGAUAGGUAGGGGUUCUGAGAGGAUUAUCCCCCACACUGGUACUGAGACACGGACCAGACUCCUACGGGAGGCAGCAGUGAGGAAUAUUGCGCAAUGGACGAAAGUCUGACGCAGCCAUGCCGCGUGCAGGAUGACAGCCCUAUGGGUCGUAAACUGCUUUUAUAUGGGAAGAAACCCCUCUACGUGUAGAGGGCUGACGGUACCAUAUGAAUAAGCACCGGCUAACUCCG